rnacentral:rRNA from 1 species
GACGAACCGUGCGAACGUUGUUCGGAAUCACUGGGCUUAAAGGGCGCGUAGGCGGGCUGCCAAGUCUGGGGUGAAAUCCCACGGCUCAACCGUGGAACUGCCUCGGAUACUGGCGGUCUCGAGGGAGGUAGGGGCAUGCGGAACUGUGGGUGGAGCGGUGAAAUGCGUUGAUAUCCACAGGAACUCCGGUGGCGAAAGCGGCGUGCUGGACCUCUUCUGACGCUGAGGCGCGAAAGCUAGGGGAGCAAACGAG